UCAAAACAAAGACUCACACACACACAAGAGUAUUUAACCCUAAACUCACCUUCACCUUCAUUUUCUACUCCCUCCUCUCGGCACUACCUACAGACAAAGAAAAGGGCCAAACACUCCUCUUGGCCUCACCCUCUCCUUCCCUGAUGUCUGGCAGUCGGCGUACCAGGAACGUCGUCGCCGUUACGGUGGUGUCAGCCACCACUCUCGAUGACAAUCACAACCGCAACCCCUUCCCCCCUCGUCACUUGUGCAGCUCCGACAAACCACAGUCGCCGGCGACGUUACUGAAGACGAUGAUGAUGCCGAUGGUGUUUGACUCAGGCGAGUUCAAUCGGAUGGUGGUGACGACGGUUGCAUCGCCACCGUCUGCGACGGUGGAUGACGGUGGCAGUGACAGUGGUUCCAACCGGUUUUGGGUUAGAUUCAUCAAGAGUGUCGAUUCAGGUCCUCACGGUCCAACUUGGUUUCGGGUCAGAUCUCGUGUCUGGUUUGGGUUCAGUUCAAAAUUGGUUUAACUUGGUUCAGCAUAACAACUUCGGGUCAGUUUCGCAUUCGGGUCAAAUGUUGUUAAAGGCAGUCGACUCCGGUCAACAUCAUGUUCAGUUCGUUUCAGCCAGAUUCUCGUGUUUGCUUUGCACGGAUUCGGGUUCGGUUCAAGAGACGUGUCGAGUUACGGCUUGAUGUUCGGGCUUCAGUUCGGUCAGACGCGGUCAAAGCCAGUCAACUGGUCAAAGCCGGUCAACUGGUCAAACCUGGUCAACAGACGGGUCAUCGGGUUAAGCUUGAGACUCGAAUAAAAGUGGAGAAAAUGGUGACUUCGGUGUUCCAUCAUCCUAACCUCACACUCGUCGACACUUGGAUAAUCGGA